rnacentral:rRNA from 1 species
UCGACGUACGUCUACGAGGAGGUUAGUUAGUACUAUGGCUCAGGACGAACGCUGGCGGUGUGCCUCAUACAUGCAAGUCGAACGAGAAGUUACCUUCGGGUAAUGGAAAGUGGCGGACGGGUGAGUACAACAUAGGAAAUCUGCCCUAAAGCGGGGGACAACAGAGGGAAACUUCUGCUAAUACCCCAUAUGAGCUUAGUUGAAAUACUAAUCUUGAAAGAUUUAUCACUUUAGGAUGAGCCUGUGCCUGAUUAGCUGGUUGGUGGUGUAAUGGACUACCAAGGCGACGAUCAGUAGCUGGUUUGAGAGGAUGAUCAGCCACAAUGGGACUGAGACACGGCCCAUACUCCUACGGGAGGCAGCAGUAGGGAAUUUUGCGCAAUGGGGGAAACCCUGACGCAGCAACACCGCGUGAAUGUUAAGCCCUUCGGGGUGUAAAGUUCUGUCAAUAGGGAAGAAUAAAUGACUGUACCUAUAAAGGAAGCACCGGCUAACUCCGUGCCAGCCGCGGC